rnacentral:misc_RNA from 1 species
GCAGAACACAAGCAAAAAAGACGGUAUUCCCAUUGUUGUCCAAACCAAACCAUACUCCAACAGGUCUGUCAUAGGCAUAUAAAUGAUAUGUUGUGUCGAAAAUCACGACGUCUCCAAACAUCAUAUAUGCACGAAUCGACUCUGGAUACGACCAGACAAUAUGUUCAAGCUUGUCGCUGAAGUCCAGUGUGAACUCAUAACGACAAUCUGGG